AGGUCCCGCCUGCCCUGUGACAUAAGUUUAACGGCCGCGGUAUUUUAACCGUGCGAAGGUAGCGCAAUCACUUGUCUUUUAAAUGAAGACCUGUAUGAAUGGCAUAACGAGGGUUAAGCUGUCUCCUUUUCCUAGUCAAUGAAAUUGAUCUGUCCGUGCAGAAGCGGGCAUACGCUCGUAAGACGAGAAGACCCUAUGGAGCUUACAGACACUAAGACAGGCCACGUCAAUAAACCCCUGAUAAAGGAAUAAACAAAGUGCUUACUGUUCAAUGUCUUUGGUUGGGGCGACCGCGGGGAAAUAAUAAACCCCCAUGUGGAACAGGAAAACCCUUCCUUGAGAUUAGAGCCCCAGCUCUAAUAAACAGAAUUUCUGACCAGAAAGAUCCGGCAUGCCGAUCAACGGACCGAGUUACCCUAGGGAUAACAGCGCAAUCCCCUUUUAGAGCCCAUAUCGACAAGGGGGUUUACGACCUCGAUGUUGGAUCAGGACAUCCUAAUGGUGCAGCCGCUAUUAAGGGUUCGUUUGUUCAACGAUUAAAGUCCU
rnacentral:rRNA from 1 species